GGAGGUGCCAUAGCUCAGUGGUAGAGCAUCUGUUUCGUAUUCAGAAGGUCCCUGGUUCAAUCCCAAGCAUCUUAA